rnacentral:rRNA from 1 species
GCGUUACUCGGAAUUACUGGGCGUAAAGGGCGCGUAGGUGGCUUGAUAAGUAGGAGGUGAAAUCUCACGGCUCAACCGGGAGGCUGCCUUCUAGACUGUCAGGCUCGAGCAUGGUAGAGGCAGAUGGAAUUCCCGGUGUAGCGGUGGAAUGCGUAGAGAUCGGGAAGAACACCAGUGGCGAAGGCGGUCUGCUGGGCCAUAGCUGACACUGAGGCGCGACAGCGUGGGGAGCAAACAGGAUUAGAUACCCUGGUAGUCCACGCCGUAAACGAUGGGCACUAGGCGUCGGGGGGAGCGACCCUCCCGGUGCCGUCGCUAACGCUAUAAGUGCCCCGCCUGGGGAGUACGGCCGCAAGGUUAAAACUCAAAGGAAUUGACG